GACGAACGCUGGCGGCGUGCUUAACACAUGCAAGUCGAACGGAGUGGCGAACGGGCGAGUAACACGUGAGUAACCUUCCCUUGACUUCGGGAUAACUUCAGGAAACUGGGGCUAAUACCCGAUCGUUUUGGCUUGACUCGCGGCUGAUCAGCUUGUUGGUGGGGUAGUGGCUUACCAAGGCUUUGACGGGUAGCCGGCCGGAGCGGGCGACCGGCCACAUUGGGACUGAGAGACGGCCCAGACUCCUACGGGAGGCAGAAGUGGGGAAUAUGGCACAAUGGGCGGAAGCCUGAUGCAGAAACGCCGCGUGCGGGAUGACGGCCUGCGGGUUGUAAACCGCGUUCAGCAGGGGCGCGGUACCUGCAGAAGAAGCACCGGCUAACUACGUGCCAGCAGCCGCGGUAAUUC
rnacentral:rRNA from 1 species